GUGUUUCCUUUCUCAAGAAACCACAAUUUGUUUUCCAUUUUCAGCCAGCCAAAUUUGAUUUCUUUCCGUAAUAUUUGAUAAACACAGCAGCACGUAAGAUUUGAUCAACACAGCAACAAACUUUGAUUUCAAACUUUGAUUUCUACCGCAGCAAACUUUGAUUUCUUUCACACAGUAGUUGACGAACAAGUAAUUCAAUCUAUUUAAACCUCAUUGCAUCAUCCUCAAUUCAUCAUCACCAAUUCGUUUUCCUCGUUUGUUUUCUUACACCAACUUCUCGUCUGUUCAUUUUCGCUCAAGUGGUGCGGCGCGACUAGGAUAUGAAUUUUAAUUGUAUUACUCAAGUUAGCAUUCAAGUUGAAGUUCAAGUUCAAGUUAAAUUUCCAGUUUCAGGUGAUUGAUAUUGGAGGCGCGUGGAGAGUCGAAUGGGCGCGUCGAAUCUAUUUAAAAUAAAUGUUUUUCAAAACAUAUUAUGUUAUUUCAUGUUAUAUCUUUUGGUUAUGUAAACUCUGAAAUUCUAUACUAUUUGAGAUUUGUGUGUGAUUUAUUUAAAUAAAUGUUGUUAUAUUAUUUUAAUGUCA